rnacentral:tRNA from 1 species
GACGGAGUGGCGCAGCGGCAGCGCAACAGGUUCAUAUCCUGGAGGCCGGUGGUUCAAGUCCACCCUCCGUUACCA